AUUGAACGCUGGCGGCAGGCCUAACACAUGCAAGUCGAACGAGUGGCGGACGGGUGAGUAAUGUCUGGGAAACUGCCUGAUGGAGGGGGAUAACUACUGGCAACGGUAGCUAAUACAGCAUACCAUCGGAUGUGCCCAGAUUGGAUGAGCGAGUAGGUGGGGUAACGGCUCACCUCGGCGACGAUCCCUAGCUGGUCUGAGAGGAUGAAAAGCCACAAGAGAACUGAGACACGGGCCAGAAGCCUACGGGAGGCAGCAGGGGGGAAUAUUGCACAAGGGGCGCAAGCCUGAUGCAGCCAGGCCGCGUGUAUGAAGAAGGCCGUCGGGUUGUAAAGUACUUGCAGCUGGGAGGCGUUACCCGCAGAAGAAGCACCGGCUAACUCCGUGCCAGCAGCCGCGGUAAUUC
rnacentral:rRNA from 1 species